rnacentral:rRNA from 1 species
AUACGUAGGUGGCAAGCGUUGUCCGGAAUUACUGGGUGUAAAGGGCGUGUAGGCGGGGAUGCAAGUCAGAUGUGAAAUUCCGGGGCUCAACCCCGGCACUGCAUCUGAAACUGUGUCUCUUGAGUGCUGGAGAGGAAAGCGGAAUUCCUAGUGUAGCGGUGAAAUGCGUAGAUAUUAGGAGGAACACCAGUGGCGAAGGGGGCUUUCUGGACAGUAACUGACGCUGAGGCGCGAAAGCGUGGGUAGCGAACAGGAUUAGAUACCCUGGUAGUCCACGCCGUAAACGAUGGAUACUAGGUGUAGGAGGUAUCGACCCCUUCUGUGCCGGAGUUAACACAAUAAGUAUCCCACCUGGGGAGUACGGCCGCAAGGUUGAAACUCAAAGGAAUUGACGGGG